GAACUGAGACACGGUCCAAACUCCUACGGGAGGCAGCAGUGAGGAAUAUUGGUCAAUGGACGAGAGUCUGAACCAGCCAAGUAGCGUGCAGGAUGACGGCCCUAUGGGUUGUAAACUGCUUUUAUAAGGGAAUAUAGUGAGUCUCGUGAGACUUUUUGCAUGUACCUUAUGAAUAAGGACCGGCUAAUUCCGUGCCAGCAGCCGCGGUAAUACGGAAGGUCCGGGCGUUAUCCGGAUUUAUUGGGUUUAAAGGGAGCGUAGGCCGGAGAUUAAGCGUGUUGUGAAAUGUAGACGCUCAACGUCUGCACUGCAGCGCGAACUGGUUUCCUUGAGUACGCACAAAGUGGGCGGAAUUCGUGGUGUAGCGGUGAAAUGCUUAGAUAUCACGAAGAACUCCGAUUGCGAAGGCAGCUCACUGGAGCGCAACUGACGCUGAAGCUCGAAAGUGCGGGUAUCGAACAGGAUUAGAUACCCUGGUAGUCCGCACGGUAAACGAUGGAUGCCCGCUGUUGGUCUGAAUAGGUCAGCGGCCAAGCGAAAGCAUUAAGCAUCCCACCUGGGGAGUACGCCGGCAACGGUGCAACUCAAAGGAAUUGA
rnacentral:rRNA from 1 species